UGGGGAAUAUUGCACAAUGGGGGAAACCCUGAUGCAGCGACGCCGCGUGAACGAAGAAGGUAUUCGUAUCGUAAAGUUCUGUCCUAUGGGAAGAUAAUGACAGUACCAUAGAAGAAAGCUCCGGCUAAAUACGUGCCAGCAGCCGCGGUAAUACGUAUGGAGCGAGCGUUGUCCGGAAUUAUUGGGCGUAAAGGGUAUGCAGGCGGUUUAAUAAGUCGAAUGUUAAAGAUCGGGGCUCAACCCCGCAAAGCAUUGGAAACUGAUAAACUUGAGUAGUGGAGAGGAAAGUGGAAUUCCUAGUGUAGUGGUGAAAUACGUAGAUAUUAGGAGGAAUAUCAGUAGCGAAGGCGACUUUCUGGACACAAACUGACGCUGAGGUACGAAAGCGUGGGGAGCAAACAGG
rnacentral:rRNA from 1 species